CCUUCUUCCUCCCUCUUUCUCCUUCCUUCCUUUUCUUCCCGUUCUUUUCUGCGGCACGGUAAGUCAACCGUGAAAGCUCCCGGCUAAACUGGGAGAGGUCGGAUGAGACUGCCGAGCUAGAGGGUCGUAGAGGGGUGUGGAAUUCCGGGUGUAGUGGUGAAAUGCGUAGAGAUCCGGAGGAACACCAGAGGCGAAGGCGGCACCCUGGACGACACCAGACGCUGAGACGCGACAGCACGGGGAGCGAACGG
rnacentral:rRNA from 1 species